UCAGACAUUAACGAUCUCUGCAGUGAGCCGCUUCGCCGACACGUCUGUCGGGAGACUCUGCCUGGAAACACCGCAAACUAAUCCGAACCGGCGGCCGACAGAGGCGGACGGGUCUCGUAGGCUACGUGGGGGUCGAUUAGGUGUGACCUGCUGAGUCGAUAAUGGGAGGAGAGCAGAGCUGUGAGAAGAAGGCCAAGGAGAGAGAGGACAAGACCGAAAAACACCAAGAGUCUGCCAGUGCUGACACUUCAGGGUCUGAAGACGCCCCAGCCGAGCUGCCCCAGUGCAGGAUGGGAAACAGGCACGUGGACAACAUGUGUUUCAUGAUCUCGUGCACCAACUGGUACUAAACUGGUCCUGGUACAACAGCAUGAUAAUGGAGCAGAAGACAAUGUGGGGAAGGUGGAAAACCCAUGCGGAGUUCAGGUUGUUGUCCUGUGACCUCCGGGCCGGACGCUGCAUUCAUGUACCCACUGCUGCUCUGAAGAAGACUUCUUCAGAAACCCCUGUUGUGUUAAUGAAUAGUUAGAGGAUGAGUGGGCCUCUCUUGAUGAUGGCUUCUCUGUAAACUCCACCUGCUUCCUCUUGCAAAGAGGAUGUUCCUGCAUGUGCAGCUCUUGAACUUGUCUACAUGCAUUUGCUUUUUCUGUUAACACACUGAACAGGAUUGACGUGUUAGAAACGCUGCACGUGCACUUAAAGUAACAGCUGUAAAAGUCACAGAUUCCUAUACUGAUUAAGACUGUGUCUGAAUUUCUCCUCAUGCUUUCACUAACAUUUGGUCUGUGGCUGAUUAAACCCCCCCACCCCCCACCCCACUAACAGUUCACUGAAUUAAUUCAGAUUUGAAUUUGAGCCAAAUCUGUUGUUUGAUUUGUGAAUAAAGAUGUUUGUCUUUUU